GCCGAGGUGGCGGAAUUGGCAGACGCGCUAGGUUGAGGGCCUAGUGAAGGUAUUCCUUCGUGGGGGUUCAACUCCCCCCCUCGGCACCA
rnacentral:tRNA from 1 species